rnacentral:rRNA from 1 species
AACGAACGCUGGCGGCAGGCUUAACACAUGCAAGUCGAGCGCCCCGCAAGGGGAGCGGCAGACGGGUGAGUAGCGCGUGGGAAUCUACCCAUCUCUACGGAAUAACGCAUGGAAACGUGUGCUAUUACCGUAUACGUCCUUCGGGAGAAAGAUUUAUCGGAGAUGGAUGAGCCCGCGUUGGAUUAGCUAGUUGGUGGGGUAAAGGCCUACCAAGGCGACGAUCCAUAGCUGGUCUGAGAGAAUGAUCAGCCACACUGGGACUGAGACACGGCCCAGACUCCUACGGGAGGCAGCAGUGGGGAAUAUUGGACAAUGGGCGCAAGCCUGAUCCUGCCAUGCCGCGUGAGUGAUGAAGGCCCUAGGGUUGUAAAGCUCUUUCACCGGUGAAGAUAAUGACGGUAACCGGAGAAGAAGCCCCGGCUAACUUCGUGCCAGCCGCCGCAGUAAAAC